UGAAUACAGCUAUUAUUGAAUGCCAGCUGCUACUCAUUUUUGUUCCAGGUUUCCUGCAGAAAUUUGAAAAAGUUCUGCUUUAGGCAUGAAAGCCAGCUGGAUGUCUUUGGUGCAGUCAAUCUCUCUCAGUCUAUAGGGUUGUUGUGAAAAAAAUAGGAGAAGGAAGGAAUAUUAGGUAGUUCUUGACUGAUGAGCACAACUGGGACUGAAAUUUUGGUUGCUAAGACAUGCAGUUGCGUAAAGAUACUCAUUGAUGACAAUGGGCUAAGAAACAGCAGCUAGAAAAGUCACUUUUGCCUGCAAAUCAG